rnacentral:rRNA from 1 species
CCCCCCCUCGAGGUCGGAAUGGAAAAACCGGUACAAGCGAGGUAGGAGUGCAUCAGGCAAAUCCGGUGCACAAUCUGAAGACGUGAUGUGGGGCGUAAAGCCGGAAGUAUGUGAGCUGGCUGCCAAGAAAAGCCGCUAUUGUUUAUGAUAUACCCGUACCGUAAACCGACACAGGUGGAUGAGGAGAGAAUCCUAAGGCCGACGGGAGAAGCAUUGUUAAGGAACUCGGCAAAAUGACUCCGUAACUUCGGGAGAAGGAGUGCCAUGUAAAAGUGGCCGCAGAGAAUUGGCCCAAGCAACUGUUUAGCAAAAACACAGGUCUAUGCAAAACCGAAAGGUGAGGUAUAUGGGCUGACGCCUGCCCGGUGCUGGAAGGUUAAGGGGAGAGGUUAGCCGUAAGGCGAAGCUUUGAACUUAAGCCCCAGUAAACGGCGGCCGUAACUAUAACGGUCCUAAGGUAGCGAAAUUCCUUGUCGGGUAAGUUCCGACCCGCACGAAAGGCGUAAUGAUUUGGGCACUGUCUCAACAAUGCACCCGGUGAAAUUGAAAUACCAGUGAAGAUGCUGGUUACCUGCGCCAGGACGGAAAGACCCCAUGGAGCUUUACUCCAGCUUGAUACUGGGAUUCGAUAUUGCAUGUACAGGAUAGGUGGGAGACUUUGAACUCAUGACGCCAGUCGUGAGGGAGUCACUGUUGGGAUACCACCCUUGUAGUAUUGGAUUUCUAACCAGCAGCCGUGAACCGGCUGGGGGACAAUGUCAGGUGGGGAGUUUGACUGGGGCGGUCGCCUCCGAAAGGGUAUCGGAGGCGCUCAAAGGUUCCCUCAGAAUGGUUGGAAACCAUUCGAAGAGUGCAAAGGCAGAAGGGAGCUUGACUGCGACACCGACGGGUGGAGCAGGUACGAAAGUAGGACUUAGUGAUCCGGUGGUAUAAAGUGGGAUUGCCAUCGCUCAACGGAUAAAAGCUACCCUGGGGAUAACAGGCUUAUCACUCCCAAGAGUUCACAUCGACGGAGUGGUUUGGCACCUCGAUGUCGGCUCAUCGCAUCCUGGGGCUGUAGUAGGUCCCAAGGGUUGGGCUGUUCGCCCAUUAAAGUGGUACGCGAGCUGGGUUCAGAACGUCGUGAGACAGUUCGGUCCCUAUCCGUCGCAGGCGUAGGAAAUUUGAGGAGACCUGUCCUUAGUACGAGAGGACCGGGAUGGACGUACCGCUGGUGUACCAGUUGUUCUGCCAAGGGCAUGGCUGGGUAGCUAUGUACGGAAUGGAUAAGCGCUGAAAGCAUCUAAGCGCGAAGCGACCUCGAGGGGGGG